rnacentral:misc_RNA from 1 species
UGCAUCCUUUGCCCCCAAUAGUGCUCUAAUAUUACAAGCAUAAGCAAUAUUUAUAGUCAAUCUACUCUUAUCGACAACUUGUUGUUCAAAAAUCCUGACAUUCCUUUCUAUCCAUAAGGCAUGCACAGUUUCAGCAAAUACCAAUUUAAAAUUUUGGACUUUUUGAGUCUUUCCUGGGGCAUUCUUAAGUAUCCACUAAUAAUGUUGAUCCCAUCUCCUCCAAUGUUCUCUUGUCGUUGCAUCCAAUCAAGUAUUGCACUCGCAAAUGGACAUUUGACAAACAUCUCUUGUUUCCUUUUCUUGCUUGCAGAAUAUACACAAAGGCUCGACAUUAAUACCCCAUUAAAUAAGCCUAUCUUUUCUGAGAUGUUUA